UUGGGCAAAACAGUCGAAAGGCUGUCACGCAAAGCUGAGUGUCUAAAGUAGAAAUACCAUGAUUGACUGGCUGC
rnacentral:ncRNA from 1 species